rnacentral:rRNA from 1 species
UUCUUUUUGAUUUAAAUUUAAAGUAUGGCCUGCUCAAUGAUAAUUUAAAUAGCCGCGGUUUAUCGUGCGAAGGUAGCAUAAUAAUUUGUCUUUUAAUUAAGGUCUAGAAUGAACGGUUUAACGGAUAUAAACUUUUUUAGUUUAAUUUAUCUUAAUUUGAUAUUUUAGUUAAAAAGCUAAGGUAAAUUAUUAAGACGAUAAGACCCUAUAGAAUUUAAAUUUUUUAUUUUAUGUUAUAAUUUGUAGUUUUAUGUAAUUUAUAAUUAAUUAUUUUGGUUGGGGUGACUAUUAUAAUUUUUUAACUGUAAUUAUAGUUAAUUCAUUAAUUAAUGAUUUAUUGAUCCUAAAUUUUGGAUUAUUAGAUUAAAUUACCUUAGGGAUAACAGCGUAAUUUUUUUGGAGAGUUCUUAUUAAUAAAAAAGUUUGCGA